rnacentral:rRNA from 1 species
GACGAACGCUGGCGGCGUGCUUAACACAUGCAAGUCGAACGGAAAGGCCCUGCUUUUGUGGGGUGCUCGAGUGGCGAACGCGUGAGUAACACGUGAGUAACCUGCCCUUGACUUUGGGAUAACUUCAGGAAACUGGGGCUAAAACAGGAUAGGAGCUCCUGCUGCAUGGUGGGGGUUGGAAAGUUUCGGCGGUUGGGGAUGGACUCGCGGCUUAUCAGCUUGUUGGUGGGGUAGUGGCUUACCAAGGCUUUGACGGGUAGCCGGCCUGAGAGGGUGACCGGCCACAUUGGGACUGAGAUACGGCCCAGACUCCUACGGGAGGCAGCAGUGGGGAAUAUUGCACAAUGGGCGGAAGCCUGAUGCAGCAACGCCGCGUGCGGGAUGACGGCCUUCGGGUUGUAAACCGCUUUCGCCUGUGACGAAGCGUGAGUGACGGUAAUGGGUAAAGAAGCACCGGCUAACUACGUG